CACGUAGGGUGCGAGCGUUGUCCGGAAUUAUUGGGCGUAAAGAGCUCGUAGGCGGUGUGUCGCGUCGGCCGUGAAAACCUGCAGCUUAACUGUGGGCUUGCGGUCGAUACGGGCAUCACUGGAGUUCGGCAGGGGAGACUGGAAUUCCUGGUGUAGCGGUGAAAUGCGCAGAUAUCAGGGAGGAACACCGGUGGCGAAGGCGGGUCUCUGGGCAGUAACUGACGCUGAGGAGCGAAAGCGUGGGGAGCGAACAGG
rnacentral:rRNA from 1 species